GGGGGGACGUUCUCGGAUUAUUGGGCGUAAGCGCGCGCAGGCGGUUCCUUAAGUCUGAUGUGAAAGCCCACGGCUCAACCGUGGAGGGUCAUUGGAAACUGGGGAACUUGAGGACAGAAGAGGAGAGUGGAAUUCCACGUGUAGCGGUGAAAUGCGUAGAUAUGUGGAGGAACACCAGUGGCGAAGGCGACUCUCUGGUCUGUUUCUGACGCUGAGGUGCGAAAGCGUGGGUAGCAAACAGGAUUAGAUACCCUGGUAGUCCACGCCGUAAACGAUGAGUGCUAGGUGUUAGGGGGCUUCCACCCCUUAGUGCUGAAGUUAACGCAUUAAGCACUCCGCCUGGGGAGUACGGCCGCAAGGCUGAAACUCAAAGGAAUUGACGGGGGCCCGCACAAGCGGUGGAGCAUGUGGUUUAAUUCGAAGCAACGCGAAGAACCUUACCAGGUCUUGACAUCCUUGGACCUCCCUAGAGAUAGGGAUUUCCCUUCGGGGACCAAUUGACAGGUGGUGCAUGGUUG
rnacentral:rRNA from 1 species